UUCAUUAUCUGUAAUUAUUUCGGUUACUGUUUGUUGUUGAUAUUUUUUCUUCGGUGAUCGUGCAGAAUCGUGUCGUCACAAAAGCUCCAAAAUUUAAAUUGGCCGGAAAGAACAACGCGAGCAUUUCCGGGCACAAAAAACAACCAGAGGAGGGAUCGGAAGCGGUAAUUCAAGCAGCGAGCAUAAUCGAAACAAAAUCUUGACCCUGCAGAUCGGAUUCACCCACCUUGCCGACUUGCUUCGUUGAAGAGAUUAUUCCCGCCAAUUAAGCCGAUGAAAUUGCCGAUCGGAAGCAUCUCGCUAAAUUUCCGGCGUUCGUCAGCGAUUUCGACUAGGCUAAAUUUCCGGCGUUCGUCAGCGAUUUCGACUGCGAGGCGUUGCAAAGGGGUGAUUUUUUCUGACAUGGAAACAGAAAGAACGGAAAAACGCAACAGUAUGCAAGGAAGCUUCAACAACUCCCGGCUAAACAGCAGGAACAAAUAUGCCAGCCCAGAUAUUCACCAAUUAAGGAGGCUGCUACCAUCAAACAAAUGGCUCCACUAAAAUUCAAGUG